UUUAAAUUUUAACUAAUUUUUAAUGUGCAGUGUGCAUAGAAAUUAGUUCAUUUUUUGCAAACUAUAGUUCCCUCCCAACACUCUGAGGGACAGUGAACUGGCCCCCUGUUUAAAAAGUAUGGGGACCCCUGUCAGAGGCUCUUUAUAGUUCUGCUAAAUCCCUUGCCCAAACUCAUUUUCCCCUUCAGUUACAACUAAUACUGCCCUCCCACACAAUCCAAAGCUUGAAACACAUCCAAGGAGAGCGUUGCUAUUUCCGGUUUCUCCGCAGCUGCCGUGUAUUUGAUCUUCAGCGCUCCUCGGGUCGCAUCUGCCAUCGGUUGGGCUGGCAUCAAGCCAUCCUGAUCUGCCUGGGCAUACGAGUAAUUCACUAGGAAGCUGGUCAAUCUUUGAGGCAAAACGGAAGAGGAUGAAUUUGUAAUGGAAUUGGUCUGUUAACUAAGGAAAGGGUAAGGUCUUUCCCUUGCUUCGGUGUAACUUUUCUUCUAAGUAAUCUGCAAGAUUCUGGUAUUUUCCUCCACCCAAUAUUGCGUUAUAUAUUUUGACAAGUGUAUGGAUACAACCUCUUCCCAAAUUUUGUAAUAAUGAAAGCUAGUAAUUUACCCCCCUUUUAGUGUCAGAAUAGCUGUUCUGAUUUCCACUACUGUUACUGGAGAGUUAAGCUGUUGUUCAUGCUCUUCAGGAAUUGGUAUUAUUGGUAAUACAUCCACAAAUUCUUUCAUAUAUCUUUCUCAAUUAAUUCUGUUUUGUAGAACUCCUCCUAAUAGCAGCUCCUGUUUCAGUACCUCCUGGCUGCAUAUGUUUUCAUGUGUCUGCUGCUUCCAACUCUGAUUCGGUCCCCUCUUCAGCCGACCUGGCUGCCAGAACGGAUCCACACACUUCAGCCAGACCUCGGGCCAGAGUUGGGAUUCCGUGCGACGCCGCCGUCCCCGCAGGGCUGGGCUUCCCCUUUCCAUGUUGCCGCUGCCUCCGCUGCGGGUGCUUUCCGGCCGGCCAGUGGGGCUGACGGAAUUCGCCAGGGCAUCCCAUGGAGAGCUUGUCCUCAGUGGCGUCUCGCCUUCCACUCUUCGUUCACCUUCCCGGAUUUCGCUCAGGAUCAGCACUGGCAACAAUUGCCAAGCCUUCUCUUCCGCAGAAUAAUUCCACUUUGCACAAGAUAUCCACAUAUGCUCAAGCAAGCCUUUUACCCCACAGUUUUGCCAGCACGUGCUCUUCCCCAUCUCAUCAUGGGUUUCUGCUGCAGCCUGAGGGAGCGGAGCAAACAUUUUUUAAUUUUUUAAAUUAUUUUUUAAAUUUUAAUCAUUUUAAAGAAUAUUUUAAUUUUAAUUAAUUCUAAUGUGCAGUGUGCAUAGGAAUUCAUAUUUUUUUCAAACUAUAGUCCAGUCCCGCAACAGUUUGAAAGACAGUGAAGUGGCCCCAUGUUUAAAAAGUUCGAGGACCCCUGAUGCAGAGCCAUAUGAAGUUGUAACUCAGAACUCUGAGACGGGCUUUGAUCCUGCGAGGCGAGAUUGUUUGCACACGAACAGCAACCCCACUGGGCUUAGCAGGGGGAACCUUCACCUUGACGUUAAAAAUUCUCUAGGAAGCCGUCUCCACCCGACAGGCAUCGGACAGAACGAGCCCACUCAAGCCUGAAGUUCACAACCGUGCCAGACAAUCACGCAGCCACAGAAAAUUCUGUCCGUCAAACUUGUAAGCCAAACCAGACCACAUCGUAAACCUUCCAGUAUCUAGAACAGCUACCAAACAGAAAGCUCUUCCCCACCUUCGUUUCCACGCAAGCAUGCGAUUGGUCAUGGGCCACCUGGCGCACCGGGGAUGGAAGGGAACGCCUGACUGCGUGCACCACCCUGGCAAGGCCCUGCCAGAGACCCGGGGAGAAGGCUCCCAGUGCCGCAGCUGCAGCGCAUUGAGCGGCUGUUCCCUCUUUCCCUCCUCAUUGGACAUUUUUUGAUACAAGAUGGAAGAAAUGGUGGGAGAACACGAGCGCAUUACAAAUCAAAGAGGACGGCACCUGGAGCCACCCCGAAAAAUCCCGACAAUGUGGUUGCGCGCGGGCACCCUCAGCAGAAAGCCCAGCGCUGUGCACGGCAGCGGUGCUUCCCCCCCGCCACCGUCCCACUGACACGUGGCCCCCGGGAGGGUCUCCCAGCCACAGAUCAGGGCAGCAGACUCUUCUAAUCCUGCAUGUUCUGGUAAUUCCUGGAAGCAUGCCAAAGAAGUCACCUACAUGGCUGGAUUUAUGCAAAACAAGAAAAGGCAGAGUAUACGUGCAUAUCUAAAAGCAGAUAUGCAAGAAAAGAUGCAUAUCUAAAAGCAGAAUUAAGAACAAAUAAUGAAGCCUCUAGAGGAUUAUUAA